rnacentral:rRNA from 1 species
CAGCAGCCGCGGGAACACGUAGGUGGCAAGCGUUGUCCGGAAUUAUUGGGCGUAAAGGGCUCGCAGGCGGUUUCUUAAGUCUGAUGUGAAAGCCCCCGGCUCAACCGGGGAGGGUCAUUGGAAACUGGGAAACUUGAGUGCAGAAGAGGAGAGUGGAAUUCCACGUGUAGCGGUGAAGUGCGUAGAGAUGUGGAGGAACACCAGUGGCGAAGGCGACUCUCUGGUCUGUAACUGACGCUGAGGAGCGAAAGCGUGGGGAGCGAACAGGAUUAGAUACCCCAGUAGUCCCUGUCUCUUAUAC